rnacentral:rRNA from 1 species
AUUCCAGCUCCAAUAGCGUAUAUUAAAGUUGUUGCAGUUAAAAAGCUCGUAGUUGGAGUUCAGAUUGAGCUCGGCCGGUCGGCCUAAUUGGUCAGAACUGGUUGACUCUGUCUUGUUUGUGGAUCCCUCCGGAGUUAACUCUUCGGAUGUGGAGUCCACAUCGUUUACCUUGAAAAAAUUAGAGUGUUCAAAGCAGGCGUUUGCUUGAAUAUAUUAGCAUGGAAUAAUGGAAUAGGACGCUGGUUCUAUUUUGUUGGCUUUGAGAACCAGAGUAAUGAUUAAUAGGGACAGUUGGGGGCAUUCAUAUUUCAUUGUCAGAGGUGAAAUUCUUGGAUUUAUGAAAGACGAACUACUGCGAAAGCAUUUGCCAAGGAUGUUUUCAUUG